rnacentral:rRNA from 1 species
UUGAGUUGUUAAGGAACUAGGCAAAUUAACCCCGUAACUUCGGGAGAAGGGGUGCCCAUGCAAAUGGGCCGCAGUGAAUAGCGUCAGGCGACUGUUUAACAAAAACACAGGUCUCUGCUAAGUCGAAAACGAUGUAUAGGGGCUGACGCCUGCCCGGUGCCGGAAGGUUAAAGGGAGUGGUUAGCGCAAGCGAAGCUACGAACUGAAGCCCCGGUGAACGGCGGCCGUAACGAUAACGGUCCUAAGGUAGAAAAUUCCUUGUCGGGUAAGUUCCGACCUGCACGAAUGGCGUAACGAUCUGACGACUGUCUCAACAACUCGCCCGGCGAAUUUGUGGUUCCGGUGAAGACGCCGGAUGCCCGCCACAAGACGGAAAGACCCCGUGCACCUUUACUAUACCCUAUCAGUGAAUUAUGGGUUGGACUGCGCAGGAUAGGUGGGAGGCUUUGAGAUCGGGUUUUUGGACUCGAUGGAGCCAACGGUGAGAUACCACCCUGUGUAAUCUGUGAUUCUAACCUGCUUCCAUGAUCUGGAAGGGGGACACUGGUAGGCGGGUAGUUUGACUGGGGCGGUCGCCUCCUAAAUUGUGACGGAGGCGCUCGAAGCUGCGUUCAGGUGGUUUGGAAAUCCACCGACGAGUGCAAAGGCAUAAACGCGGUUAACUGCGAGACCUACAAGUCAAGCAGGUGGGAAACCAGGACUUAGUGAUCCGGUGGUUCUGUAUGGAAGGGCCAUCGCUCAACGGAUAAAAGGUACGCCGGGGAUAACAGGCUGAUCGGAGUCAAGAGUUCACAUCGACGCUCCGGUUUGGCACCUCGAUGUCGGUUCAUCGCAUCCCGGGGGUGUAGAAGCUCCCAAGGGUUAGGCUGUUCGCCUAUUAAAGCGGUACGUGAACUGGGUUCAGAACGUCGCGAGACAGUUCGGUCCCUAUCUGUGGUGGGCGCAGGAAAUUUGAGGGGGCUUGGCCUUAGUACGAGAGGACCGGGCUGAACGAACCUCUUGUGAUACAGUUGUCACUCCAGUGGCACAGCUGUGUAGCGAAGUUCGGUUAGGAUAAGCGCUGAAUGCAUAUAAGUGCGAAACCUUCCCCAAGAUGAGAUUUCCCAACCGUAAGGUAAUAAGGGCCGUGGAAGACUACCACGUUGAUAGGACGGGUGUGUAAGAGUAGUAAUACUUUGAGCUAACCGUUACUAAUAGCCCGUUCGGCUUGGCCAA